UAGGGAAUCUUCGGCAAUGGACGAAAGUCUGACCGAGCAACGCCGCGUGAGUGAAGAAGGUUUUCGGAUCGUAAAACUCUGUUGUUAGAGAAGAACAAGGACGUUAGUAACUGACGGUCCCUUACCGGUAUCUACCCAGAAAGCCACGCUAAACUACGUGCCAGCAGCCGCGGUAAAACGUAGGUGGCAAGCGUUGUCCGGAUUUAUUGGGCGUAAAGCGGGCGCAGGCGGUUUCUUAAGUCUGAUGUGAAAGCCCCCGGCUCAACCGGGGAGGGUCAUUGGAAACUGGGAGACUUGAGUGCAGAAGAGGAGAGUGGAAUUCCAUGUGUAGCGGUGAAAUGCGUAGAUAUAUGGAGGAACACCAGUGGCGAAGGCGGCUCUCUGGUCUGUAACUGACGCUGAGGCUCGAAAGCGUGGGGAGCAAACAGG
rnacentral:rRNA from 1 species